rnacentral:rRNA from 1 species
UACGGAGGGGGCUAGCGUUGUUCGGAAUUACUGGGCGUAAAGCGUGCGUAGACGGCUAUCUAAGUCGGGUGUGAAAGCCCCGGGCUCAACCUGGGAAUUGCAUUCGAGACUGAAUAGCUAGGGUGCGGUAGAGGGAAGCGGAAUUUCCGGUGUAGCGGUGAAAUGCGUUGAUAUCAUCAGGAACACCGGAGGCGAAGGCGGUCCACUGGGUCCUUUCUGACGCUGAGGGACGAAAGCUAGGGGAGCGAACGGG